AACGAACGCUGGCGGCAUGCCUAACACAUGCAAGUCGAACGAAGCCUUCGGGCUUAGUGGCGCACGGGUGCGUAACGCGUGGGAAUCUGCCCCUUGCUUCGGAAUAACAGUUAGAAAUGACUGCUAAUACCGGAUGAAGUCUUCGGACCAAAGAUUUAUCGGCAAGGGAUGAGCCCGCGUAGGAUUAGGUAGUUGGUGGGGUAAAGGCCUACCAAGCCGACGAUCCUUAGCUGGUCUGAGAGGAUGAUCAGCCACACUGGGACUGAGACACGGCCCAGACUCCUACGGGAGGCAGCAGUGGGGAAUAUUGGACAAUGGACGCAAGUCUGAUCCAGCAAUGCCGCGUGAGUGAUGAAGGCCUUAGGGUUGUAAAGCUCUUUUACCAGGGAUGAUAAUGACAGUACCUGGAGAAUAGGCUCCGGCUAACUCCGUG
rnacentral:rRNA from 1 species